rnacentral:lncRNA from 1 species
AAAAAACAUUAUGCAAUUAUGUAGUUUUUUCAAAAUUUGUAAUGCAGCAGAAAAGAAGUUAUUGUUCUAAUAAAAUAUAACGGGAUACCUGCAUAUGGAGCAGAUAAAAGGACAAGGGCUCUGAAUGAAGAUAUCACUGGACUUAGAGCCAGAAGACUUGGAUUUGAAUCUAAUAGAUUGGGGCUUUUGAUAGCUAAGUAAAUUGGGGCAUGUCACUUGAUUUUCUCAGUAUCUGUUCCCUUCUCUAGUACAAGUGAUAAUCUCAAUGUACCUACUGCAAGGGAGCACUGUGAAAAAUAAAUGAGGCAAUGCAUUGACAACAUCUAAAAAAUGUGUACUAUAGAAUUAUAGAAUGUUAUUUUUACUGGGAAUUGUCUUAAUAUUCUGUCCAUGUUCAGUGCACGCAGAUUGGCAAACAUCAGCUUACGUAUACGACUAUCUUCUUAUAGGCCUUCUAAGAUAGGAGAGAUCCAAAAUGAAUUGCAAUAUUUAAUGGGUCCACCAAAUUCCUGGAAAAACUGCUUGAUUGUGGAGGAAGAGAAUCAUCUCAAACAUCUGAAUGGAAGAAUCAUUCUAUGGCCAACUUAUUCAGCGGAAAUAUUUGACAAACAAGGAAAUACGUACAUGAACUAAAUCCACAGAUCAAGGCAUCCUUAUGAAAGUGGAGGACAGCAAAGCAACUCAAGAAGAUGCAAUCAGAUGGAAUAUACUACAGAUGAUUCUGAUGGCUGUAGAUACAUCCUGGAAUCGAACACAAAACUGUUUCUUCACAUCCACCUCUCACAAAGUCCAUAUGGAAUCAUUACUUGACCCUUUCUUCUUCUUCAGAAAUGAGGUGCAAUUUUUAGUAAUUUUAAAAAUUAUCUUUGGAACUGAUAAUUUCAUAGAUAAAAUAAUCUAA